UUUAUAUUUAUUAUUAAUUAUCUAUAUAAUAUUUAUUAUUAAUAUAAGAAAUCUUAUAAUUAUUAUUAUUAAAUAUAGUACUAGAAAAAUUUAAAUAUUAAAAA
rnacentral:rRNA from 1 species